CCCCUUCCUUUUUGACCGCCGCCGCCCUAUAUUAGCCCUGCCAGUUCGCUGGCUAUGGUAAUAAACGCUGUUCGGAAUAAGCGUUACGGACCCGGGGGCGGUACCCGGCGCCUCCACCAAUUUCCCGUUUUCCGUCGGCCUCAAUGUCGCCGACGGAAACAUAUGGGGGCGAAAUAGGAUCGACGUGCGUAGUAAAGGUACAGUUUUUGCCCGGCAUGAUACCCACCGUAUCGGGAUCAAAACGUAGAAAUGCCAACGAUAAUCAGGCAUAUGCAGUUGCCGCUUAAUCGCUAAGCAUCUGCGGGGCCCGGGGGGCGCCUAGCAACAGAAGCCCCCCACU
rnacentral:tmRNA from 1 species